UUACGGUCACAUCACCAUGUUGAAACACUUGUCUACGUACGAUCACCGAAGUUAAGCAACGUCGAACCUGGUCAGUAUUUAAAUGGGUGAACGCUUAGGAAUAUUGGGUGUUGCAAGC